AGAGUUUGAUCAUGGCUCAGGACGAACGCUGGCGGCGUGCCUAAUACAUGCAAGUCGAACGAACUCUGGUAUUGAUUGGUGCUUGCAUCAUGAUUUACAUUUGAGUGAGUGGCGAACUGGUGAGUAACACGUGGGAAACCUGCCCAGAAGCGGGGGAUAACACCUGGAAACAGAUGCUAAUACCGCAUAACAACUUGGACCGCAUGGUCCGAGUUUGAAAGAUGGCUUCGGCUAUCACUUUUGGAUGGUCCCGCGGCGUAUUAGCUAGAUGGUGGGGUAACGGCUCACCAUGGCAAUGAUACGUAGCCGACCUGAGAGGGUAAUCGGCCACAUUGGGACUGAGACACGGCCCAAACUCCUACGGGAGGCAGCAGUAGGGAAUCUUCCACAAUGGACGAAAGUCUGAUGGAGCAACGCCGCGUGAGUGAAGAAGGGUUUCGGCUCGUAAAACUCUGUUGUUAAAGAAGAACAUAUCUGAGAGUAACUGUUCAGGUAUUGACGGUAUUUAACCAGAAAGCCACGGCUAACUACGUGCCAGCAGCCGCGGUAAUACGUAGGUGGCAAGCGUUGUCCGGAUUUAUUGGGCGUAAAGCGAGCGCAGGCGGUUUUUUAAGUCUGAUGUGAAAGCCUUCGGCUCACCCGAAGAAGUGCAUCGGAAACUGGGAAACUUGAGUGCAGAAGAGGACAGUGGAACUCCAUGUGUAGCGGUGAAAUGCGUAGAUAUAUGGAAGAACACCAGUGGCGAAGGCGGCUGUCUGGUCUGUAACUGACGCUGAGGCUCGAAAGUAUGGGUAGCAAACAGGAUUAGAUACCCUGGUAGUCCAUACCGUAAACGAUGAAUGCUAAGUGUUGGAGGGUUUCCGCCCUUCAGUGCUGCAGCUAACGCAUUAAGCAUUCCGCCUGGGGAGUACGGCCGCAAGGCUGAAACUCAAAGGAAUUGACGGGGGCCCGCACAAGCGGUGGAGCAUGUGGUUUAAUUCGAAGCUACGCGAAGAACCUUACCAGGUCUUGACAUACUAUGCAAAUCUAAGAGAUUAGACGUUCCCUUCGGGGACAUGGAUACAGGUGGUGCAUGGUUGUCGUCAGCUCGUGUCGUGAGAUGUUGGGUUAAGUCCCGCAACGAGCGCAACCCUUAUUAUCAGUUGCCAGCAUUAAGUUGGGCACUCUGGUGAGACUGCCGGUGACAAACCGGAGGAAGGUGGGGAUGACGUCAAAUCAUCAUGCCCCUUAUGACCUGGGCUACACACGUACUACAAUGGAUGGUACAACGAGUUGCGAACUCGCGAGAGUAAGCUAAUCUCUUAAAGCCAUUCUCAGUUCGGAUUGUAGGCUGCAACUCGCCUACAUGAAGUCGGAAUCGCUAGUAAUCGCGGAUCAGCAUGCCGCGGUGAAUACGUUCCCGGGCCUUGUACACACCGCCCGUCACACCAUGAGAGUUUGUAACACCCAAAGUCGGUGGGGUAACCUUUUAGGAACCAGCCGCCUAAGGUGGGACAGAUGAUUAGGGUGAAGUCGUAACAAGGUAACC
rnacentral:rRNA from 1 species